rnacentral:rRNA from 1 species
GAUUUCUGGGCAUCAGUUUCUGGCCGGCCACGGUUUCGUGUGUUAGUGCUUGAAGCUUUGUCCAUCCUUCCAAUUGCUAGUCACUAUUCUUCAUUGAAUGGUGAUUAGUAUUGGAUCUUUUACUUUGAAAAAAUUAGAGUGUUUCAAGCAGGCUUUAUGCUAUGAAUACAUUAGCAUGGAAUAAUAAUUUAGGACUUCGGUUCUAUUUUGUUGGUUUCUAUAACUGAAGUAAUGAUUGAUAGGGAUAGUUGGGGGUGCUAGUAUUGGCCGGCCAGAGGUGAAAUUCUUGGAUUCGGUCAAGACUAACUUAUGCGAAAGCAUU